rnacentral:tRNA from 1 species
UUACUGAUAGGUUAUUCAAACUGACAAAUUGUGGUUUUGUUGAUUACUAAUUUAUUUUGUAUCAGUAAA